UACGAGGGGGGCAAGCGUUGUUCGGAAUUAUUGGGCGUAAAGGGUGCGUAGGUGGUUCGGCAAGUCUUGUGUGAAAUCUUCAGGCUCAACUUGAAGUCUGCACAAGAAACUGCCGGGCUUGAGUAUGGGAGAGGUGAGUGGAAUUUCCGGUGUAGCGGUGAAAUGCGUAGAUAUCGGAAGGAACACCUGUGGCGAAAGCGGCUCACGGGACCAUUACUGACACUGAGGCACGAAAGCUAGGGGAGCAAACAGG
rnacentral:rRNA from 1 species